rnacentral:rRNA from 1 species
CAGGCUUAACACAUGCAAGUCGAGGGGCAGCAUGGUCUUAGCUUGCUAAGGCCGAUGGCGACCGGCGCACGGGUGAGUAACGCGUAUCCAACCUGCCUUACACUCUUGGACAGCCUUCUGAAAGGGAGAUUAAUACAAGAUGUUAUCAUGAGUAAGCAUUUUCGCAUGAUUAAAGGUUUACCGGUGUAAGAUGGGGAUGCGUUCCAUUAGAUAGUAGGCGGGGUAACGGCCCACCUAGUCUUCGAUGGAUAGGGGUUCUGAGAGGAAGGCCCCCCACAUUGGAACUGAGACACGGUCCAAACUCCUACGGGAGGCAGCAGUGAGGAAUAUUGGUCAAUGGACGAGAGUCUGAACCAGCCAAGUAGCGUGAAGGAUGAAGGUUCUAUGGAUUGUAAACUUCUUUUAUACGGGAAUAAACGGAUCCACGUGUGGAUUUUUGCAUGUACCGUAUGAAUAAGGAUCGGCUAACUCCGUGCCAGCAGCCGCGGUAAUACGGAGGAUCCGAGCGUUAUCCGGAUUUAUUGGGUUUAAAGGGAGCGUAGAUGGGUUGUUAAGUCAGUUGUGAAAGUUUGCGGCUCAACCGUAAAAUUGCAAUUGAUACUGGCAGUCUUGAGUACAGUUGAGGUAGGCGGAAUUCGUGGUGUAGCGGUGAAAUGCUUAGAUAUCACGAAGAACUCCGAUUGCGAAGGCAGCUUACUAACCUGUAACUGACAUUGAUGCUCGAAAGUGUGGGUAUCAAACAGGAUUAGAUACCCUGGUAGUCCACACGGUAAACGAUGAAUACUCGCUGUAGGCGAUAUACAGUCUGCGGCCAAGCGAAAGCAUUAAGUAUUCCACCUGGGGAGUACGCCGGCAACGGUGAAACUCAAAGGAAUUGACGGGGGCCCGCACAAGCGGAGGAACAUGUGGUUUAAUUCGAUGAUACGCGAGGAACCUUACCCGGGCUUAAAUUGCAACCGAAUAUGGCGGAAACGCUAUAGCUAGCAAUAGCGGUUGUGAAGGUGCUGCAUGGUUGUCGUCAGCUCGUGCCGUGAGGUGCCGGCUUAAGUGCCAUAACGAGCGCAACCCUUGCCGAUAGUUACUAACAGGUUAUGCUGAGGACUCUGUCGGGACUGCCAUCGUAAGAUGUGAGGAAGGUGGGGAUGACGUCAAAUCAGCACGGCCCUUACGUCCGGGGCUACACACGUGUUACAAUGGGGGGUACAGAGGGCUGCUACCACGCAAGUGGAUGCCAAUCCCAAAAACCUCUCUCAGUUCGGAUUGAAGUCUGCAACCCGACUUCAUGAAGCUGGAUUCGCUAGUAAUCGCGCAUCAGCCACGGCGCGGUGAAUACGUUCCCGGGCCUUGUACACACCGCCCGUCAAGCCAUGGGAGCCGGGGGUACCUGAAGUGCGUAACCGCAAGGAGCGCCCUAGGGUAAAACUGGUGACUGGGGC